GAUGAAGAACGUAGCGAAAUGCGAUAAGUAAUGUGAAUUGCAGAAUUCAGUGAAUCAUCGAGUCUUUGAACGCACAUUGCGCCCCCUGGUAUUCCGGGGGGCAUGCCUGUCCGAGCGUCAUUGCUGCCCUCAAGCACGGCUUGUGUGUUGGGCCCCCGUCCCCGGAUUCCCCCGGGGACGGGCCCGAAAGGCAGCGGCGGCACCGCGUCCGGUCCUCGAGCGUAUGGGGCUUUGUCACCCGCUCUGUAGGCCCGGCCGGCGCCAGCCGACACCCAACUUUAUUUCUAAGGUUGACCUCGGAUCAGGUAGGGAUACCCGCUGAACUUAAGCAUAUCAAUAAGCGGAGGA
rnacentral:misc_RNA from 1 species